rnacentral:rRNA from 1 species
CGAGUCGCAAGCUCGCGAGAGUAAGCUAAUCUCUUAAAGCCGUUCUCAGCUCGGACUGUAGGCUGCAACUCGCCUACACGAAGUCGGAAUCGCUAGUAAUCGCGGAUCAGCAUGCCGCGGUGAAUACGUUCCCGGGCCUUGUACACACCGCCCGUCACACCAUGGGAGUUUGUAACGCCCAAAGUCGGUGGCCUAACCUUUAUGGAGGGAGCCGCCUAAGGCGGGACAGAUGACUGGGGUGAAGUCGUAACAAGGUAUC